CCCAUCCCCACAAACUCUCCUCAGUGAGCUCAAGACAUCGAUACCAUCAUCCCUGCGGAUAGCGACCCUUCAGCCCUUCAUCAGCCUGAAUUCCAGAACCCUUCCUCCUGCCCAGCCCCUGCGGCUCCGGAGAAAAUCCAGGCACUGCCACCCUCCCAGCCCUCCACACGGACUCUGAGCACCGCACCAGGCUCCGCAGUGGUUUCAGGGACUUUCUCCUCUCCCUGCUGCGGCUCCGGCUCCCUUCGAAAGCAAGCGGCUCCGCGUGUGCCUUUGCAAUCUGAGAAUGUGAGCCAGUCGGCAGGACAGCGGGGAAUGAAAUGAGAAGAGUCUACGAGCAACAAGAAAAGAAAACCCUCUGUGUGUGAUGAGAAGGCUUGGCUUGAUGCUGUCUCUUUAAAAAUUUGCUCAAAUCAUACAUUAAAAGGCAAACCUCUUCUAUCACAUACAUAUUUCAUCUGCACCUUGGAACUGUAAUUAAUGGCACAGGAGGCUUCAUUUGACAAGCUGUCCUCAGGGCAGACUUUUUACUUCUAUCUACAUCAACAGUGCUCUCUGCUACUGUUUCCCGUGGCAGAACUGCUCAGCCUCACCCUGCUCCAUAGCAGGGAGGAGAGCAGAUGUGAGGCUAAUCCACAUUUCUCUCUCCAUUGAUGGAUACUUCCCUCAGAUACAACAGGACUAAAGAGAAUAAUUUUUCAAAGAUGGAAGAAGACAUGUGAGGAGACACACAGCAGGAGGUGAAGAGACAACUCCUGUUUGUAAAGCCUGCCUGCUGUGUGAAAUGAUCAAUGCUAAUUCAAACUGAAUACGAUCGAAAUGGAACACCAAGGGCCAAAUUAGUCCCUGGUGCAGCACCAGUAACCCAAGGGCAGAUGAUUUGAUUUCACUGAACUUAUGCCAGGAGUGAACUUGACCCCCAGCGUUACGUGGCAUCCAACAGUAUGGCCAAGAAACCUGAAAUACAUCACAGGCAUCCAAACAGAGGUGUUCUGGCUGUGGCUGCUGCUCCAGCAUGUGUAGAGUUCUCAGUUCUUGAGCACUGUCAACCCUGACAACUAUUUCUGAUGGCCAUUUACCCCAUGCUUUUCAUAGCAGUGACGGUCAUUUAUGAAAAAGUUGCAGAGGUUCUCCAAAAAUACAAAUUAGCAGUUAGGUUAAUGUACUUACCAGAUAUUGGACAAGCUGUAUUUUUUCUAACCAAAUCAAUUGGGAAGAACAAAAAAGGGAACAAAGAGAGGUAACCUUUCUGUAAGAUCUGCCUGGUGUAACACAUGCUCAAACGAUGUGUACUGAAUCCAUCACACAGCAAGUCAGCCUGCAGCAGGAUGGAGAUGCACUGACAUUAACUCCAGGAAGAACUGAGGUGGUCUGAACCACAGGAUCCCAAGGGCUUUCAAACACUGCUUUAUGGAUCUUGGGUUUUGAGCAGGAAAGAACACAGGUUUCACUUUUCCCAUCAUUUUUGCAGCAUGUGGGAGCGGAGGCUGCUGAGCCUGGUUUCUCUGUCUGAGGGGCCCUGAGGUGCUGCAGUGCUGCCCAGCAGCUCUCUGCAGGGACAUGUGCCAUCAUGGCAGGGACCAUUUCCAGGCUCUGCCCAGCCUGUUUGCACAGACUCUUCUCUGCCUGUCCAGGGCCUGGGCAGCCACCCAGCAGCUGGGCAAGGAAGAGCUGAGCUCAGUGGGACAUCUGCCACCAGCUCUCAGGGUACUGGGCCAAUCCCCAGUAGUGGGUAAUACAGCCUGGUUAGAGACCAGGCACAUUCUCCUGAGAAUUUUAAUGCCCAAAAGUAGAAUUCCAUGUUUGGUGUUCUGUCUCUAGAGUUUACCCUGCUGAUCAUCUGCAUUUGCAUUGUAUUGAGCUUUUUCAUCUGGAAUCUGGCAGUAGCUAGCACUGCUAUCUCUUCUUACCAGUGAUUCAGAGACAUACAUACAUUGCCAGGUUGGAUGGGGCCCUGAGCAAUCUGGCCUAGUGAAAAGUGUCCUUGCAGGACAGUUGGAACUAGCUGAUUUUUAUGGUCUCUUCCCACUCUAAUCAUUCUAUGAUUCUAUAAAAUCUCAGACUUGGGAUGGCUCUGCAAGCUCAAACUAUUGGAUGAGAUUUUAUGUAACCAUAGCAAAAGCUUGGCUUUUUAUCUGGCUCUCUUUCUGGAUUGCAUCUGGGUUUAAUUUGUUUUUUGGAUCCUCCAAAGGAUUUAUUAUUUUGGUUGACUUAUCCACACCUUGUUAUCCACUACCUACAUGUCUCUUACUAUAUAAUUUAAUACAGCAAAACACUGCUUCAAGCUCA